rnacentral:rRNA from 1 species
AUUGAAUGCUGGCGGCAGGCCUAACACAUGCAACUCGAACGAGUGGCGGACGGGUGAGUAAUGUCUGGGAAACUGCCUGAUGGCGGGGGUUCACUACUGGAAACGGUAGCUCAUACCGCAUACCAUCAGAUGUGCCCAGAUGGGAUUAGCUUGUUGGUGGGGUAACGGCUCACCAAGGCGAAGAUCCCUAGCUGGUCUGAGAGGAUGACCCGCCAACCUGGAAAUGUGACCCGGUCCAGACGCCUAAGGGAAGCAGCAGUGGGGAAUAUUGCACAAUGGGCGCAAGCCUGAUGCAGCCAUGCCGCGUGUAUGAAGAAGGCCUUCGGGUUGUAAAGUACUUUCAGCGGGAAGGCGUUACCCGCAGAAGAAGCACCGGCUAACUCCGUGCCAGCAGCCGCGGUAAUUC